CCUCCUGCGCGGCCCGCGCUCCCCCGGGCCUGCCUGCGCCUCGGUCCCCAGUUCUGGCUCUUUCCUCUCACUUGGCCGCUCGGCCUGCCUCACUCCCGCUUGUUUGCUCUCCUCCGUUUCUCUCCUGUCUGUGUCUCUGUGCGUCUCUGCACCCUUCCGUGGGUUGAGUCUCUCCUUUUCUCGGUCUCUAGUUCUAGUUCUCCUUCCCUCCCUCUGACUCCCAGUUGCCUUCUGUCUCCACCGCAGCCCUCAUUCUCUCUCUCACUUCCCCUUGCUGUCCCCGGCACCCUGUCCCUCCGUCCAUGGUCCAUGGCUCCGGCCUCCUCCCCUCACACCCUGUAUCUCUCCUGUCCCUCCCUGGCGCUGCCCAUCUCGUGCUCACCGUCUCUCACCCUCCACCCCUGGCCAAGGCACCCCCAGGGCCAGCCAGGCCCCCUAGACCUGGCCUUGAUCUGCGCCUCAUGCCCCAGUCCCAUAAAAGGGGUUUACAAGUGGAGGGACUGCAGGACCAGUGCUCAGGGCUCAGACACAGAAGUCAGGAAAACGGAGAGAGGACAUGGCUCUGGCACCUGCCAGCUCACAGGGGCAGAGCUACAGAGUUUGAAAGCCAGUCUUUCAAACGGGGUCUCCCAGGAGGCCCUCAGCUGCCACAUGGUGCCUGGUGGCUGGCACUCUGAGAAUGGUCUCACCUCACUUUCCACUUUCCCACCUGACAAGGAAGGAAGGACCAGGGGCAUGUGCGCCAUGGGGCAGGCAGAGAAGGCUGGGCCUGCAGCCGCCCCACUUCCUUUACCCACGACGCCCUCCUCUUCCUGCCCUCCGUCCUGCCGGUUCCUACCCCUCAUCCCUGGGUCUGGCCAGGGCUUUGAUGGCCAGGGGUGCUCAGCUGCAGGAAAUUGGAGGCCUGCUUCCUGGUGCCCCAUCCACCCAGGCCCAGGGCUGCUCAGGGGACUGUCCGAUAGGACUCAUGUCCCUGCCUCCAUCUCCAGGGGAGCAUGCCUGGUCACUGCUACUAAAUGUGGGACGGAUGAAUGGCUGCAGCACCACCCAGGACACAUCUGCCUCGCAGACACAGGAUGGUCACGUUGGCCUCUCCCUGGGCAGUGCCAGACAGACUCUGCGAAGCUGCCUCCCGGCCCCCGCUGUGCACCGCCAUGCUGACUGCCACACUCACCAGACCAGGCCCAGCAGAGCAGCGUGCUCUGCCCGCUUUUACCUGGGAGACCCGCUGCCCUGAAGGCAACCCUCGCCCUGAUUCCCGGCAGAGUUCUGAAUGUCCUGUGCCCUCGCCUCGCCUCCACGUGCCGGCAGAAUGUGGGGUGGACCGUCUGUCCUUCCUUCCGCGACCUGUGACUAAGCGCCUGCCGUGUGCCCGGCACUGGGGGUGCCAUGUGAACCCACGGGCACGGUUCGUCCUCAGCCCUGCCUUGGACGCGGGCUUCCAUCAGGUAACUCAGAACUGCCUAACCACAAAAGGCCGCACGCCGAGAAGGGCGAUACCAGCUGGUUCUAGAAGAGUCCCUCACAGGGACACUUGAGCCCAUCUUCCUUGGCCUGAGACCCGCAAGACGCACAGCAGUUAGACGAUGAAGAGAGAGCUGUCCCCAUGGGGCGCAAGGGCAAAGGCUCAGCGGUGGGUGGCAGCGGGACCCUGGAGGGCAGAAAGGCGGCCUUGGGGGUGGAGCAGAGGCAGCACAGGGCCUCUGCUUGAGGCUGGGGGCAGGCUGCUGGCCGAUCCAGAGCUCUGUUGCGGGGUGCUACCUUUCAGGGGUCCCACACCCCAGCCUGGCCUCUGGGCCACAGGGGCCUCCAGGGUCACUGGGUGCAGGCUCCACUGCAGCCACCGCACGGAGCUCCCUGACAGCGCCGCGGCGGGAAGGGCCCUCUCAGGGAGCUGCCCAGGCGUGGUGGGGGAGGGCUGUGCAGCCUGUGGGAGCCCGUGUGUGCACGUGUGCGGGGAGGGGUGACCAUGCAC
rnacentral:lncRNA from 1 species